AAAAUUCAAUUUAAAAGAAAGGCAGACUGGCACGUGCAGCGCCUCAUUUGGAUGUGUCUGGAGUAUUAGAAGCUUGACUACCCUACGUUCUCCUACAAAUGGACCUUGAGAGCUUGUUUGGAGGUUCUAGCAGGGGAGCAGCUACUCGUAUACCCUUGACCAAAGAACAUUCCUCCUCUAUCGGGGAAGGUCGUGCUCUUCGACCAAGCGCGCAGCUUUGGGAGGGAUGCACAUGGAGCGGUGAGGGAGGAAGGGGACACCCACCUAGCCAGCCAGAUCAGCUAAAUCAACCCUGGCAAUCAAUGGGGUGCCAGAUGUCGCAGCG